GAUGAACGCUAGCUACAGGCUUAACACAUGCAAGUCGAGGGGAAACGGCAUUAAGUGCUUGCACUUUUUGGACGUCGACCGGCGCACGGGUGAGUAACGCGUAUCCAACCUUCCCAUGACUAAGGGAUAACCUGCCGAAAGGCAGACUAAUACCUUAUGGUCUUCACUGACGGCAUCAGAUGUGAAGUAAAGAUUUAUCGGUUAUGGAUGGGGAUGCGUCUGAUUAGCUUGUUGGCGGGGUAACGGCCCACCAAGGCAACGAUCAGUAGGGGUUCUGAGAGGAAGGUCCCCCACAUUGGAACUGAGACACGGUCCAAACUCCUACGGGAGGCAGCAGUGAGGAAUACUGGUCAAUGGGCGAGAGCCUGAACCAGCCAAGUAGCGUGCAGGAUGACGGCCCUAUGGGUUGUAAACUGCUUUUGUAUGGGGAUAAAGUCAAUCACGUGUGAUUGUUUGCAGGUACCAUACGAAUAAGGACCGGCUAAUUCCGUG
rnacentral:rRNA from 1 species